GUUCUGGUGGCGUAGCCCGGUAGCGCGCCCCGCUCACACCGGGGAGGUCGCGAGUUCAAGUCUCGCCUGGAACA